rnacentral:rRNA from 1 species
UACGGGAGGCAGCAGUGGGGAAUAUUGCACAAUGGGCGCAAGCCUGAUGCAGCCAUGCCGCGUGUAUGAAAAAGGCCUUCGGGUUGUAAAGUACUUUCAGCCGUGAGGAAGGUGUUAAGGUUAAUAACCUUAGCAAUUGACGUUAGCGACAGAAGAAGCACCGGCUAACUCCGUGCCAGCAGCCGCGGUAAUACGGAGGGUGCGAGCGUUAAUCGGAAUUACUGGGCGUAAAGGGCACGCAGGCGGUUAAUUAAGUUGGAUGUGAAAUCCCCGGGCUUAACCUGGGAAUGGCAUUCAAGACUGGUUAGCUAGAGUCUUGUAGAGGGGGUAGAAUUCCGAUGUGUAGCGGUGAAAUGCGUAGAGAUGUGGAGGAAUACCGGUGGCGAAGGCGGCCCCUGGACAAAGACUGACGCUCAUGUGCGAAAGCGUGGGGAGCAAACGAGGGAUUAGAUACC